GCCCCGAUAGCUCAAUGGUAGGGCUCCUCCUGUAUGUGGUGAGCUCAAGCGCCUAUCAAUAACUACGAGGUUGCAGGUUCGAAUCCUGUCCGGUGGUC